rnacentral:rRNA from 1 species
UACAGGGGGUGCAAGCGUUGUUCGGAAUUACUGGGCGUAAAGGGCGCGUAGGCGGUUUAGUAAGUCAGAUGUGAAAGCCCGGGGCUCAACCUCGGAAUUGCAUUUGAAACUGCUAGGCUAGAGUGCAGUAGAGGAUGGCGGAAUACCUAGUGGAGAGGUGAAAUUCGUAGAUAUUAGGUGGAACACCGGUGGCGAAGGCGGCCAUCUGGGCUGUAACUGACGCUGAGGCGCGAGAGCGUGGGGAGCAAACAGG